rnacentral:rRNA from 1 species
UGGGGAAUAUUGCACAAUGGGCGCAAGCCUGAUGCAGCCAUGCCGCGUGUGUGAAGAAGGCCUUCGGGUUGUAAAGCACUUUCAGCGGGGAGGAAGGCGAUAAGGUUAAUAACCUCAUCGAUUGACGUUACCCGCAGAAGAAGCACCGGCUAACUCCGUGCCAGCAGCCGCGGUAAUACGGAGGGUGCAAGCGUUAAUCGGAAUUACUGGGCGUAAAGCGCACGCAGGCGGUCUGUCAAGUCGGAUGUGAAAUCCCCGGGUUCAACCUGGGAACUGCAUUCGAAACUGGCAGGCUAGAGUCUUGUAGAGGGGGGUAGAAUUCCAGGUGUAGCGGUGAAAUGCGUAGAGAUCUGGAGGAAUACCGGUGGCGGAGGCGGCCCCCUGGACAGAGACUGACGCUCAGGUGCGAAAGCGUGGGGAGCAAACAGG